AUUGAACGCUGGCGGCGUGCUUAACACAUGCAAGUCGAACGAAGUGGCGCACGGGUGAGUAACGCGUAAUCAACCUGCCCUUCAGAGGGGGACAACAGUUGGAAACGACUGCUAAUACCGCAUACUGAAGGAGGGGAUUGCGUCUGAUUAGCUCGUUGGAGGGGUAACGGCCCACCAAGGCGAUGAUCAGUAGCAGGGCGGAGAGGAUGGACGGCCACAUUGGGACUGAGACACGGCCCAGACUCCUACGGGGGGCAGCAGUGGGGGAUCUUCCGAAAUGGACGAAAGGCUGACGGAGAAACGCCGCGGGAGUGAUGACGGCCUUCGGGUUGGAAAGCUCUGUUAAUCGGGACGCGGUACCGGAAUAGAAAGCCACGGCUAACUACGUGCCAGCAGCCGCGGUAAUAC
rnacentral:rRNA from 1 species